GUCCUUGUGGUGUAGUGGUUAACAUGACUGACUCUGAAUCAGGAGAUCUCGGGUUCGAUUCCCGACAAGUAUA
rnacentral:tRNA from 1 species